rnacentral:lncRNA from 1 species
UGUGAGCUGGUUUUGGCCAAGAAACUGAAGAGAAACUGAACAGGGUGCUGAAAAGGAUUACUUUAAAUGGUGCUCAUAUACUCAUGACUGUAUGUGAUGUCCGGAACUUCAGCAGCCACCUCUUGCCUGUGAGGAGACAAUUUGACACCCAAAUCUCUGAGCAAAGUAGGAAGCAGGGAAGGACCCAUUUCUUUUGUUACAUUAUGGAGCUGUUAAAUUAGCCAACCUUGGAGAUAAGUCUUCUUCCAGAGGUUGAGUUUUGUGUUACAGUAGAAAAUAUUUUCAAAUACACUCCGCAUCUCCAAAACCCUUGCACUGUGAGCUGCUGGAGUUUCUGCAGGUAAGAAGCACCCAUCCUUCCGUGAAUCCACUCUAUCCCAGGCUCUGCCGAUGGUGUCCUCUGAGUGCUUCACUCAUCCUUCUAUAUCUACCCUGACACCACAACAGUGGGAGAUGUUGCAUUUACCUCUUUCCUGGUCCCCAUUUAUUCCCCUUCCUCUUUCCCACCAUGGCUCACCCCAUGAGAUUUUCUCCAGC